AGGUGCUGCACGGCUGUCGUCAGCUCGUGUCGUGAGAUGUUGGGUUAAGUCCCGCAACGAGCGCAACCCUCGUGUCUAGUUACUAACAGUUCGGCUGAGGACUCUAGACAGACUGCCUUCGUAAGGAGGAGGAAGGUGAGGACGACGUCAAGUCAUCAUGGCCCUUACGGCUAGGGCGACACACGUGCUACAAUGGAUAGGACAAUGAGACGCAAUAUCGCGAGAUGGAGCAAAUCUAUAAACCUAUUCUCAGUUCGGAUUGUAGUCUGCAACUCGACUACAUGAAGCUGGAAUCACUAGUAAUCGUAGAUCAGCCAUGCUACGGUGAAUACGUUCCCGGGUCUUGUACUCACCGCCCGUCACACCAUGGGAGUUGAUUUCACCCGAAGCGGGGAAGCUAAAUCGGCUACCCUCCACGGUGGAAUUAGCGACUGGGGUGAAGUCCUAACAAGGUA
rnacentral:rRNA from 1 species